GUUUGUUUCUUGUUAAAUCACAUUCGAGUUGUACAUCAUGUUUUAGCAUUCUUAUUAAAACACUUUGACAAUUCAGAACUAACGAUAACAAGACUCACGAAAAGGAAACAUUCGAUACGCGAUUCAAAUAAUAUUUCUUGUAUUUCUUUCAUACGUCAGCCAGGGCACCAGGUGAAUUCGGGAGCAAGAAAUUUCUCUUGAUUUUCAACGGGCGUAAUUAAGCGCGCGCGCCACGCCGAGCUGACGCGACACGGACAAUAGAUGAGCCAGGCGGGUAGCCUUAAUUAAAUGGUAAAGGCGGCCGAUUAGUUGGCAAACUCGCGAUAGUGGAAAUUUAUUAUAUCCAAUGCAACCCGCGGGGUCUCACGUGCGCGCUCCUCCACCGUCUUUCGUGCCGUCGUUACCACACCCCGUUGCCCAUCUUCCGUACAACCAGGCUGGCGAAUCGGGGGUUGGUUUGUCGCGCAUAAAUCCUGCCGCUCUCCAGAUGGGAUACACGCCGUCGCGCGACGAUCAGAUAGAUGCUUAAUGCAAUUAUACGCCUCGGAAGGAGCACCGAGACCGAUACCAGUUUUCAUGAGAUUGCUGCACGUGACCAAGCUUGUAUGCUUCGUCGCGCGGAUCAACGAAGCGUAAUUACUAAUUUCCCGUUGUCCUGUGAAAGAACGACGUGCGGUUUUGAAUCUUUUGGAGACGCGGGCUAUUGAGAAAGAGAGGAUUAUAAAUUAAAUUGUCUUUGUCUUUCUCGGAAGAAAAGCCGAGUGUUGAGGAAAGGAUAUACAUAUAUUAUAAAUCAUCACGGUACGUCGACCGGGGGGAAGAACGAAGAUCAAUUCGGGCACUUCUCGCGCAGACGGCUGAUUAUUCGCAUCCUGAUUAUCGAACCUAACCAGGGAACACAAGCCUACCCGCCGCAAACAGGCCCGUCCGUGUUUGCGCUGUGUCGGCCAAAACUGUGUGGUCACGAUGGAACGUAGAAAGUGUCUCGUUCACCACACGAAGUGGUACGGAUGCUGCGCAUCACGUCGAGUCGGUGGACGAGUCGAUCUCUAUUUCGUCUAAUUCGUUUAGCGAAGAAUUUAGAAGUCUAUGAUCUUUUUAAAGAAUUGAUUAGACUCUCUCUGGAGACCGGUCUAAAUCGAUCGGCGCUCCUCGGCUUCAUUAUCAUACUCUGUAUUAGCGCCCAAGUGAGUCGGACGCACCAGAAUUCGCUCGUCAAAGAUAUACUGCCGCAUAUACGGGAUCGCGCCGCGCACAUAUUUGCAGAUUAAUCUGAAUCCAAUUCUCUCGGAUUUUCGCGAAGAAGCGCCCCCGACCACGCUGUUGCACCGAACUCCACGAUUAUGCGCAAUCGAUAAGGGAGGAGGGGGGAAGGGGUGGGUGAUAUAUUCGCAUAUUUCGGCGUAUAUCCCGGCGCACCUCGACGAAUUCUGCUGUUCUAUCUCGACGUGCUUGGCGCGCUCCGCGUUACUCUGGUUUACUCCGACAUAUUCUCUCUCUCUCUCUCUCUCUCUCUCCCUUCGUCUCCCUCUCCCCCCCCCCCUCUCUCUGUCCCUACGACGUAAUCAAUAUAUCGUGUUGCUGAGACCUUCUCGGCGUCGUCGGCAGGUAGGUUUAGGCAUGGCUUUUCAGGUAUAGCCAGACACACCAACAGACGCACCAACCCUGGAUAGAUAUGUAUCGCGCACCCGUGUGCACACACCCCGGUAUCUCCGUGCUAAUUAAUAUCUCGGACACGGCAUCUCCCGCCGCGCGAGAU
rnacentral:lncRNA from 1 species